GACGAACGCUGGCGGCGUGCUUAACACAUGCAAGUCGAACGGAAAGGCCCUGCUUGCAGGGUACUCGAGUGGCGAACGGGUGAGUAACACGUGGGUGAUCUGCCCUGCACUUCGGGAUAAGCCUGGUCAACUGGGUCUAAUACCGGAUAGGAGCCAUUUUUAGUGUGAUGGUUGGAAAGUUUUUUGGGUGUAGGAUGAGCUCGCGGCCUAUCAGCUUGUUGGUGGGGUAAUGGCCUACCAAGGCGGCGACGGGUAGCCGGCCUGAGAGGGUGGACGGCCACAUUGGGACUGAGAUGCGGCACAGACUCCUACGGGAGGCAGCAGUGGGGAAGAUUGCACAAUGGGCGCAAGCCUGAUGCAGCGACGCCGCGUGGGGGAUGACGGCCUUCGGGUUGUAAACUCCUUUCGCUAGGGACGAAGCUUUUUGUGACGGUACCUAGACAAGAAGCACCGGCUAACUACGUG
rnacentral:rRNA from 1 species